rnacentral:rRNA from 1 species
GAAGGCUUUCGGGUCGUAAAACUCUGUUGUUAGGGAAGAACAAGUGCUAGUUGAAUAAGCUGGCACCUUGACGGUACCUAACCAGAAAGCCACGGCUAACUACGUGCCAGCAGCCGCGGUAAUACGUAGGUGGCAAGCGUUAUCCGGAAUUAUUGGGCGUAAAGCGCGCGCAGGUGGUUUCUUAAGUCUGAUGUGAAAGCCCACGGCUCAACCGUGGAGGGUCAUUGGAAACUGGGAGACUUGAGUGCAGAAGAGGAAAGUGGAAUUCCAUGUGUAGCGGUGAAAUGCGUAGAGAUAUGGAGGAACACCAGUGGCGAAGGCGACUUUCUGGUCUGUAACUGACACUGAGGCGCGAAAGCGUGGGGAGCAAACAGGAUUAGAUACCCCGGUAGU